rnacentral:rRNA from 1 species
CCUACGGGAGGCUGCAGUGAGGAAUAUUGGUCAAUGGACGCAAGUCUGAACCAGCCAUGCCGCGUGAAGGACGAAGGCCUUCUGGGUUGUAAACUUCUUUUAUUGGGGAAGAAAAUUACGGUUUCUACUGUAACCGACGGUACCCAAGGAAUCAGCACCGGCUAACUCCGUGCCAGCAGCCGCGGUAAUACGGAGGGUGCAAGCGUUAUCCGGAUUCACUGGGUUUAAAGGGUGUGUAGGCGGGUAUUUAAGUCAGUGGUGAAAUCUCCAGGCUCAACCUGGAAACUGCCAUUGAUACUAUUUAUCUUGAAUCUUGUUGAGGUGGGCGGAAUAUAUCAUGUAGCGGUGAAAUGCUUAGAUAUGAUAUAGAACACCGAUUGCGAAGGCAGCUCACUAAACAAGCAUUGACGCUGAGGCACGAAAGCGUGGGGAUCAAACAG